CUGAGUGAAGGUCUUUUGGCCUAAUCUCCAACCCAAUGUUUAUCAAUCAUGUUGCUUUGGUGAAUAUAUCAAUAUUCACCAAUAGCCAAUUUUAAUUCUUUUUCAUCAUGAGUCUGAUUAUUAAAUUCAAAUUUAAUUA
rnacentral:misc_RNA from 1 species